rnacentral:rRNA from 1 species
UACGUAGGUGGCAAGCGUUAUCCGGAAUUACUGGGCGUAAAGCGCACGCAGGCGGUCUUUUAAGUUUGACGUGAAAGCUCCCGGCUUAACUGGGAGAGGUCGUUGAAGACUGGAAGACUUGAGGCAAUGAGAGGGGUGUAGAAUUCCCGGUGUAGUGGUGGAAUGCGUAGAUAUCGGGGGGAACACCAGUGGCGAAAGCGGCACCCUAGCGUUAGCCUGACGCUCAUGUGCGAAAGCGUGGGGAGCGAACGGG